rnacentral:rRNA from 2 species
UACGUAGUGUGAAUUGCAGAAUUCCGCGAAUCAUCGAGUCUUUGAACGCAAGUUGCGCCCGAGGCUUGCCCUCGGGCAUUUCUGUCAGAGCGUCAC